GAUGAACGCUGGCGGCGUGCCUAAUACAUGCAAGUCGAGCGAAUGGAUUAAGAGCUUGCUCUUAUGAAGUUAGCGGCGGACGGGUGAGUAACACGUGGGUAACCUGCCCAUAAGACUGGGAUAACUCCGGGAAACCGGGGCUAAUACCGGAUAACAUUUUGAACCGCAUGGUUCGAAAUUGAAAGGCGGCUUCGGCUGUCACUUAUGGAUGGACCCGCGUCGCAUUAGCUAGUUGGUGAGGUAACGGCUCACCAAGGCAACGAUGCGUAGCCGACCUGAGAGGGUGCUCGGCCACACUGGGACUGAGACACGGCCCAGACUCCUACAGGAGGCAGCAGUAGGGUAUCUUCCGCAAUGGACGAAAGUCUGACGGAGCAACGCCGCGUGAGUGAUGAAGGCUUUCGGGUCGUAAAACUCUGUUGUUAUGGAAGAACAAGUGCUAGUUGAAUAAGCUGGCACCUUGACGGUACCUAACCAGAAAGCCACGGCUAACUACGUGCCAGCCGCCGCUGUAA
rnacentral:rRNA from 1 species